UACGUAGGGUGCGAGCGUUGUCCGGAAUUAUUGGGCGUAAAGAGCUCGUAGGCGGUGUGUCACGUCGUUCGUGAAAACCUGCAGCUUAACUGUGGGCGUGCGGUCGAUACGGGCAUCACUGGAGUUCGGCAGGGGAGACUGGAAUUCCUGGUGUGGCGGUGAAAUGCGCAGAUAUCAGGAGGAACACCGGUGGCGAAGGCGGGUCUCUGGGCCGAUACUGACGCUGAGGAGCGAAAGCGUGGGGAGCAAACAGG
rnacentral:rRNA from 1 species